AAUGGUAGGAAUAUAAGAGAUGUAAAAUAAUAGUCAAAUUUGGUAACAUAGGUGUGAUAAAUAUAGCCAAACAUCCAUAUCUCAUACGAUAUGAUACUGAGUAGAGAAAUAAUCUUGUGGAAGUCCUUAAAAGCUGAUCGACCCAAUCCUUUCUUAAUGAUAUCCCAAAUAAGUGACGUUGUAAUUAAUGUAACUAAGAGCCAAAUAACAACACAAACUACACCUGAAGAUUUUAUUUCUCCACGGCAUGCCAAAUUCUCCAAAAUUAUCUCAUUUUCCUUGCAGAGAGUUCUAUCUUGCUCAGGAUGUACAGUAAUGUGUGUCCUGAAAAGAAUUAGGUACGUCAAAACAACUAGAACAAGUCCUGUUGGGAUAGCCUUUCGUCUCAUAGCUAAAAUAAACAAAGCAAAAGCUAGGGUGUGGCUAAAUCAUAUUCACGUAUUGCCAUGAUGGGAACAUGAAACCCAUUAUGUAACAAUGCUGUAGAUGCCUCCUCUAUGAUUAACUGACAAUGACAUUAUUAUUGUAAUACUAGCAUGCAUUUACAGUGUAUAAAUUUGGCAUUGAUUAAUUUCCAUUCUAUUUAUUAUUUUACGUACCUAGCCCUUGGUAACCAGGUUGGUAAGAUAUACAUAUGGGACACCACACAGAAUGAUGUCAUCAAGGGACGUCCAUCAGUGAUACUCUCUUCAGCUAAAUGCUUCACUGCCGUGAGACAAGUCACCUUCAGCAACGACAGCAAGACUAUCAUUGGUGUGUGUGAUAAUGGAACUGUAUGGAGGUGGGAUGCUAAAUCAUAAAGAACCAAUAAUACACUCACACACAAACUUAUUGUAAUACACUGUAGAUCAGUAUACUGUGUAUACACCAUUAUUUUUCUAACAAACAAUGAUACAUUUUAAUUAUCAUUCACUGAUGCUAAAAGUAAUAGUGUCAUGACUUGAACUAAAAUUGAACAAUAAAAAGUUAUUUUGGUUUCUUGUG